rnacentral:rRNA from 1 species
UUAUCCGGAUUUAUUGGGUUUAAAGGGUGCGCAGGCGGUCUGUUAAGUCAGCGGUCAAAGCCCGGGGCUCAACCCCGGCCCGCCGUUGAAACUGGCAGUCUCGAGUUGGAGAGAAGUAUGCGGAAUGCGCGGUGUAGCGGUGAAAUGCAUAGAUAUCGCGCAGAACUCCGAUUGCGAAGGCAGCAUGCCGGCUCCACACUGACGCU